AACGCACCUUGCACCAUAUGAGCAAUCGUAUGGUAUACCUGUUUGAGAAUCGUAAAAACCCACUCCUACCCUUGGGUAGGGAAGUGUCGGUUUGAGCUAGCUCAAUCUGAUCAAAAGCAGUAGGUCUAGUCAGGCUGGUGGCCUGGGACAUUGUGUGCUAGAGACGUCGUUCGCGGCAGUCUUCUCACGAUGCGUCCCUGGGCUAUUCAAGCUGGUCUGAUGUCGAUCUCUACGUGUUUUGACCGUCAAAAGUCAAAACACAACCCCCCUUUUUGAUCUCAAAUCAGGUAAGGCUACCCGCUGAACUUAA
rnacentral:misc_RNA from 1 species